rnacentral:misc_RNA from 1 species
GUAACAAGGUCUCCGUUGGUGAUCCAGCGGAGGGAUCAUUACCGAGUUUACAACUCCCAAACCCCUGUGAACAUACCACUUGUUGCCUCGGCGGAUCAGCCCGCUCCCGGUAAAACGGGACGGCCCGCCAGAGGACCCCUAAACUCUGUUUCUAUAUGUAACUUCUGAGUAAAACCAUAAAUAAAUCAAAACUUUCAACAACGGAUCUCUUGGUUCUGGCAUCGAUGAAGAACGCAGCAAAAUGCGAUAAGUAAUGUGAAUUGCAGAAUUCAGUGAAUCAUCGAAUCUUUGAACGCACAUUGCGCCCGCCAGUAUUCUGGCGGGCAUGCCUGUUCGAGCGUCAUUUCAACCCUCAAGCACAGCUUGGUGUUGGGACUCGCGUUAAUUCGCGUUCCUCAAAUUGAUUGGCGGUCACGUCGAGCUUCCAUAGCGUAGUAGUAAAACCCUCGUUACUGGUAAUCGUCGCGGCCACGCCGUUAAACCCCAACUUCUGAAUGUUGACCUCGGAUCAGGUAGGAAUACCCGCUGAACCUAAGCAUAUCA